UACGAAUGGAGCGAGCGUUGUUCGGAAUCACUGGGCGUAAAGCGUGCGCAGGCUGUUGUGAAAGUUAGGAGUGAAAGCCCCGGGCUUAACCCGGGAAUUGCUUUUAAAACUACACAACUAGAGUACUGGAGAGGUUGGCGGAAUUCCGAGUGUAGCAGUGAAAUGCGUAGAUAUUCGGAGGAACACCGAUGGCGUAGGCAGCCAACUGGACAGUUACUGACGCUCAUGCACGAAAGCGUGGGGAUCAAACAGG
rnacentral:rRNA from 1 species